UACCCAAUCCUGACACAGGGAGGUAGUGACAAAAAAUACCAAUACAGGGCAUUACAUGUCUUGUAAUUGGAAUGAGAACAAUUUAAAUCCCUUAUCGAGGAUCCAUUGGAGGGCAAGUCUGGUGCCAGCAGCCGCGGUAAUUCCAGCUCCAAUAGCGUAUAUUAAAGUUGUUGCAGUUAAAAAGCUCGUAGUCGGAUUUUGGCAUCACGCCGCACUGUCUGCCGAUUGGUAAGUACGGUUUGGCGGGUGCUUCCUUCCGGUGCUGCGUUCUGCUCUUAGUUGAGCGGUUCGUUGGUUCCGGUUCUUUUACUUUGAGAAAAUUAGAGUGUUCAAAGCAGGCCUAUGCUCUGAAUAGGUUAGCAUGGAAUAAUAGAAUAGGACUUUGGUUCUAUUUUGUUGGUUUCUAGGACCGAAGUAAUGAUAAAUAGGGACAGUUGGGGGCAUUCAUAUUCCAUUGUCAGAGGUGAAAUUCUUGGAUUAACGGAAGAUGAACUUCUGCGAAAGCAUCUGCCAAGGAUGUUUUCAUUGAUCAAGAACGAAAGUUAGGGGAUCGAAGACGAUCAGAUACCGUCGUAGUCUUAACCAUAAACUAUGCCGACUAGGGAUGUGGAGGCGUUAACUUUGUACGACCCUCCAUGCACCUUAUGAGAAAUCAAAGUCUAUGGGUUCCGGGGGGAGUAUGGUCGCAAGGCUGAAACUUAAAGGAAUUGACGGAAGGGCACCACCAGGAG
rnacentral:rRNA from 1 species